rnacentral:lncRNA from 1 species
CAGGUACCGAGAGUCGGGGUGUGUGAGAUAAUUGGCCAGCGAGAACUCGUUAGAUAGAUUUCAAAUUUUGGACAUAUGAUUUAUUUUGACAUGAGAUUGAUUAUAUGGACAUUUAGAAGUUAUUGUUUAGUUUCGUUUUAAUUAAUAAAUUAUUUAGUUUAUAAUUGAGAUGGUGGCUUUGGAUCAAUUUAAGGCCUUCCAUUUUCGGAGGUUCUUCCUCUGAAUUCGUGGCCAGUUGUUGCGGUUCAGAUCCGAGCAGUCGGAUCUGGGGCAUGACAGCUUUAGUGGUAUCAGAGCCGAAUACUAGCCGGAGGUGUGAGAACUAACUGCUAUGCGGGACAAAGUGCUACACCAAUGGGUUUGGUGGGAGCCACCUCUUGAACCCGUAGGAGCCACCUCUAGAAUCUCACAUCGCCUAGUAAUGGUCCUGGUCUGUCUGUCUGUGAUCUAGUUUGGACCCGACGAGGACGUCAGGGUCUAAACAGGGGGAGUUUGUAACACCCCCAAUAGUCCCACAUCAGAUGGGAUACUGAUUCCGAUCAGUUUAUAUGAGACCUACACGCUAGUAAUAAUAACUGGGCUUAAGCAUUUUGGGCCGACUAUUGGGCCCAACGAGUUAUUGUUGCUAGUGGGCUAGGUCGUUACAUUUGGUAUCAGAGCCGGUUCAUCAGCUGGACAUAUGUAGAGAGUCUCGGCUGAGCCAGGGUCUGGAUGAUGGGCUAGCGAGACGAGUCUCACAUCGCCUGGUGAUCUUGGGUUGUGUGUGUGAUGGACUGACGAGGACGUCAAGGCCUUAACUGUAGCACACUGGACCUUUGCAAAUUAUGAGGUUCGAGUGUUUGGACAGUGUCUUGAGCUUUUCCAGACUUUCUGGUGGGUCGUUGACAGUGUUUCGACCUAUGGCCCGUGUCCCGAGAAUUGUGGUUUAAAGUUGUGUACCAAAACCCGAAAAAUCAGAUUCUUGGCCACCUCUCGGGUUGCCUUCAGAAGUCUUGUACCGGUACAGGGUUGGUGGUUGUACCGGUACAAGGUUGAUGGUUGUACCGAUAUAGCCACCGGGCUUGUACCGGUAUAGAGCCGCGGAACCCUCCAGACCCGAGCCUCGGGUUUGUGAUUUUCGUAGGGCUUGUACCGGUACAAGGGCCCGUGUACCGGUACAAGGUGGCAGAAUUUGAGCAGUUUGAACUGCAGGGGUGUUUUUGCGAUUGUGGGUCUCUUAUAACAGCACCCACACCCCUAGGGCUGCUCUUUGAGCUUGCCAAUGCAGAGAGAAGGUAAGGCUCCUCCAUGCUUCUCCUUUGGAUUUGAUCUCUUUUUAGCUUGGGAUUUAAGUGUUGAUCCUUCUCUUUUCCCUUUUCUUUGCUUUUCCACCAUUGUGAAGCUUGGAGCUUGGUCUUGGUGGAUUGUUGAGGGCAGAUCUUGGGAUUUCAAGAGUUUAGAGCUUUGAUUGAAGCUUCUAAGAGGUAAUCCACUUAUUCUCUCCCUCUAGAUUGGAUUUUUAUUGAUGGUUUUGAGAUGAAACCCUAGAAUGAGGUUUUAGGGCUUAUUUUGGGCAUUUUGAAUUUAGGGCUUUUGGAGCUAAAUUAGUUGGAUUAAAAUCUUCCUUUGGGUUGUAUUGGGAGGAUUCUAGCUCUCUUUUGGAGCUUGAGGGAGAUUUUCUACACAUUAGGUGAGUUUUAGCCCUUUUGCCUUGUUGGUUAAUGUUUAAUUUUAUAGUUGAUUGUAAUGCCCGUGUAUCAUUUCGCUCAAUACUUUUAGGGUAUUUUGAGACUCGGGGACAACUUCGUUCGGCGAAACGAGGCACUACGCGACGGUUCGGUGGGUUUGACCUAGCCUAUAAUAUGAGAAAUUCUCAUAUAUGGCGAUAUAUGUUUCGUAAAUUGGAAAAGCAUGCAUGUUCAUACUAAAUGUAUUUAUUAUGAUUUUUAGAAUGCUUAAAAUGCCUAUGUUACAUGUAAUGAAAUUUUGGAUCUCUAUGUAGUAGAGGAUAGCAUAUGAAGCUUAUGCGGAAUUUUUGGCAUUCUUAUGUUGGAUCAUGUUCCUUAGUGUAAAAAGAGCUUCGAUUCAUGCAUUUAAACCUAAGUUUAAUUGAGUCAUGAAAGAUAACUAAUAUGCCAUAAAGAGGCACCGAACCGGAAUGUUAUGUGAUUUAGAGAGCUAAUGCCAUCAAGCGACAUUGAGCUCGGGACAUAGGUGAACCUAGUGGAUAGGGCCAUUGAGGAAUGUGGAACAUGCUUAAGUAUUGAAUGUCUAAGUGUCAUAAAGGGACACUAGACCUAGAGAACAUUGGAACUUCAUUUUGUGAUUUAGAACUAGAUCUUCGGGAUGCUAGUGACUAUACUAUGUUAGAGACAUGAUGAUUGGAUACGUGAGACGCUGACUAUGCUUGCUUGCCAUUUGUGCUCAUUCGCACAUGCUUGUGAGGGUCGCUCCCUACAAGCCGGCACUCCGGAGUUAGCCUACGCGACUUAUGUUCGCUCGUGCGGUAUUGAGAAGCCUACGGGGUCAAGUGGGACAGACACAUUCCAAGAGUAGGAAUGUCGGGCUACCACAGGCACUUAGGCAGCACAAGCUGCACUACCUUGGGUAGGCCCUUAAUUGGAAAUGAAAAUCGACACAGUGUUGAGUGUGUUUUAAUCACUACUAGAUAGAGAUUAGUAGUUGGAUUACUUGGACUUGCUUCUAGCAUAGUUUUGGACACUUGAGUACACAUAUACUUACAUGUAGUAUGCUAGGAGAUAUUGCUUAUUGCAUUCAUAUAUACAUUAUUGCCAUGAUAAAGUAUAAUCCUUAUAACUUUAAAGUGAACUGUGACACUUACGUAUAGCUAUAUAGAGACAUAUUGGUUAUGAUAAAGUAAAGGUGCAUUAUUUUUAACACCAUGUUUAAUUGCAAUAUAGUGGCUUAGCAUUUUAAUUUUGCUCUCAUAAAUGCAGUUUAUUCUUUAUUAUUGCUCUUUUGACUUACCCUUUUCUUUUGGGGCCUAGUGGUGCAUUGAGCUGAGGUCAGUAAUUGCCCACUGGGAACUAUAAAUUAUAGUUCUCACGCCCUCUGUUUUAUGUUUCUUUCAGAGCCUUCCACGCCGGGGGAGGCCAGGGAUCGCGGAAAGGGUAUCGCCUCGGGCUAGUGUUCUUCGCCGAGGGAUCGUUCGAUAGGUGGCCCACCUCUCUUUGUUUCUUUUUGUGAGAGGUUGAGAGUUGUACCAGUGUACUAGAGACCACCCUUUUGUGUACCUUUUGGGACAGAUAUUGUAUUACCUUAUGGUUUACUUUUACUGUUUAGUUGUAUCCUUUUACUUUUGCUAUAGAAGGUAGAAUCAUACUGCUUUGAUAUCAUUAGUUUUUGCUCUUUCCUUUCGGCUGUGUUUCUUGCUUUAUUUCUGCUGUUGAUGUAGACGCCUUAUAUGUGUUGACAUAUGGCGGGUCUGGGCACGCUACCGGAAGGGCCUCUGCCGGUCCCGGGGCGUGACAAAUUAAUUUGGUAUCAGAGCCUAGGGUUGAGUCUUAGUGGACCUAGCAAACCUUAGGCCGGUUGGACUAUAGGAAUUAGGCUCGUGAGAGACGAGAUCUAAUCUAUUUUUGAAAGAAAGUAUUAUGAUUGGGUUUUAUGACAACUCUAAAAAGUUAGAGUUUGAUCGAAGUGUAUGGCUUCUAACUUCGCGGAGGGUUACGUUGGCGGCCGACAACGUAACAUCGGGAGUUAGUAGUGGAGGACACUUCUUUACUUUUGCAUGAUUUGGAUUUUAUCUAUUUGAGCGGGGAUGUGGUAGCGUGGGUUACUAACUUGCACUUUUAUGUUUUGUAGUGACGAUGCCGAUUACACGCUCCCAGUCUGCCGGGGCGGAUGAUGCGGCACACCCCGAGGAGGCCGAGACCUCCGCUACUUCCGGAUCUAGUGAGGUCCGUGACUUGAGGACCUAGCUUGCGGUCCUUACUAAUCUGUUGGCGCAGCAGACGGCAGCGGCGCAGCGACAGGCUGAGGUGGCUCAGCGGCAGGAGGCGCGGAUGAAGCAUCUUGAGGACCUCCUACUUCAGCAGGCGGCAGCUUCGAGGGAGACCCAGGUUCCCACACCGCCAGCACCCGUGGUGGACGUCGCACCGAGGGCACAGUCCCCCGCGCCCAGUUCUUCACGUGCGGCACCAGCGACCACACCUCGGGAGGAGGUGGCUGCGGCACCCGCAGUUCAGAGACCGGCCACGGGGGCAGCUUUCCCCGUGAGGGCCGAGGGAGCCGAGCGGGAUUGGCUCAUGGAUCGCCUCAGUGAGUUCAGGAGGUGCAGCCCGAGGACGUUCGAUGGCAAGAACGUCGACCACUGGAUUGUUCAGAAGUGGUUGAUGCAUAUGGAGAAGCUUUUUCGAGACACCUUUGUGGAGGAGCGGGACAGAGUUUGGCUCGCCACUCACUUUCUCGACGGCGAGGCCGUUGGUGGUUGGAUAUCUAAGACAACCGCAACACUGACUUGGCAGCGAUUACUUGGACGAGGUUCAAGGAGCUCCUUCUGGCGCACUACUUCCCGACUAGCGUCAAGAGAAAGAUGGAGCAGGACUUGCGCAGCUUGAGCCAGGACGAGCGGUCUGUGGCCGAGUACGAAAGGGAGUUCUCUCGGCUACUUCACUGUGUACCGUUUGUUGUGAGGGACGACGAGGACAAGGCCCGCAUUUUUUAGCGCGGAUUGCGGCCUUCUAUUUUCCGAUUGGUGCAAUCUUCCAACCUCCAGACCUAUCGAGAGGUUGUGGAUCGAGCAUUGAUUGUAGAGGCUGGAGCGGCAGAUCUUUAGGAGCGUCGCGAGAGCUCGGAGAAGGGGAAGGAAAAGAGGCCCGCGACCGAGAGUGUGAGUCAGACGCACUCAUGGAGGCCGCCAAGGCACCCCAGGAGUCGGAGCCGGUCGCGGGGACGUGGCUCGUUUACUCAGCGAAGAGGACCCGAUCGUCACCAGGCCCCCCGCUGCGUGAUCUGUGGCGGUCCUCAUUACCCGCGGCAGUGUUCACGCAGCCGGGGCAGGUGCUUCUUGUGUGGCCAGGAGGGCCACUUUCAGUCGUACUGCCCGAGGAAUCCAUCGACAGCGCCAUCUUCGACAUCUGCACCAGCAUCGCCAGGUCCGAGUCAGGGGACAUCUUCUGCGCACCACCAGGCCGGACGGCCACCUGUUCCGUGGCAGGCGGAAGGGUCACGACAGGCCCCGAGCGGGUGCAUGUACGCGGCCCAAGCUGAGGAGGCGGCGGCAGCCGAGAAUAUGGUCGCAGGUAUCAUUUUACUUCAUGGUAUUCGAGUUAGAGCAUUGUUUGAUACCGAUGCAUCGCAUUCAUUUAUAGACCGGCUGUUUGCCGAGUUGUAUGGCAUCCCACUUGUAUCUUUGUUGCACCCGGGCCGAGUUGUUGUACCCGACCAUUCCUUGGACAUUCGGGAGUUUUGCCCCAGUUGCCCUAUUCGAGUUGGAGAUUGGAUCAUGCCCGCGGACUUACUAGUGUUGCAUAAACUCGGAGAGUUUGAUGUUGUGUUGCGCAUGGAUUGGUUGACUAAGUACUACGCCACUAUCGAUUGCAAGGAUCGAAUGGUGACAUUUAGAGAGCCGGGGCAGGCGGAGGUUGUGUACCAAGGAUGCCAGAGUUCGCUGUUUGCGAUGACGAUUAGCUCUUCUCGAGCUCGGCAGUUGAUUAGUCGAGGCUGUGUGGCCUACUUGGCUACUGUUGUGUUGAGGGGUGAUGAUGAUACCCCCAGGAUUGAGGAUAUCCCCGUAGUGCGGGAGUUUGGAAAUGUGUUCCAAGCUGAGCUUCCGGGCACGCCACCGGAUAGGGAGAUUGAGUUUGUAGUGGAUCUCGUUCCCGGGACCACACCAAUCUCAAAGGCGCCCUAUAGGAUGGCACCAGAAGAAUUGAAGGAGCUGAAGGCACAGUUGCAGGAUCUUCUGGACAAGGGUUUUGUGCGACCGAGUGUGUCACCUUAGGGAGCACCGGUCCUAUUUGUUAAGAAAAAGGAUGGAUCACUUCGUUUGUGCGUGGACUAUCGUGAAAUUAACAAAGUCAUGAUCAAGAAUAAGUAUCCAUUGCCGAGGAUCGACGAUCUAUUUGAUCAGCUACAGGGCUCUAGUGUGUAUUCCAAGAUCGACCUACAGUCGGGAUAUCACCAGUUGAAAAUUAAGCCUGAGGAUGUGUCGAAGACGGCUUUUAGAACACGGUAUGGACAUUAUGAGUUUACCGUUAUGCCGUUUGGGCUUACUAAUGCCCCGACAGCUUUUAUGGAUCUAAUGAACCGUGUUUUCAAGCCUUUUUUAGACAGGUUCGUUGUGGUAUUCAUCGACGACAUCUUAGUGUAUUCCCGGAGUGAUGCGGACCACGAGGAGCAUUUAAGGCUUGUACUUCAAGUGCUUCGGGAAAAGAAACUCUAGCCAAGUUGAAGAAGUGUGAAUUUUGGCUUAGGGAGGUGGCGUUUUUGGGCCAUUUGAUUUCAGGAUCAGGCAUAGCUGUGGACCCGAGAAAAAUUGAAGCUAUCAAGGAUUGGCUGAGGCCGACGAGUGUGACCGAGAUACGGAGCAUUCUUGGCUUGGCCGGCUACUACCGACGAUUUGUCGAGGGGUUUGCAAGAUUAUCUACUCUCCUCACGAGGCUCACGCAUAAAGGCACCAAGUUCAUUUGGAAUGAUGCGUGCGAAAGGAGCUUCCAAGAGUUGAAGCAGAGACUAACUACCGCCCCGAUCCUAACCUUGCCAGUUACUGGAGCAGGGUAUGUGAUUUAUAGCAAUGCUUCCUUUAAUGGAUUGGGAUGUGUUUUGAUGCAGGACGGGAAGGUGAUCGCGUAUGCUUCUCGCCAACUAAAGGAUUAUGAGAGGAACUAUCCUACUCACGACUUGGAAUUGGCGGCCGUGGUCUUUGCAUUGAAGCUAUGGCGCCACUACUUGUACGGCGAGCAAUGUGAAGUGUAUACGGAUCACAAGAGCUUAAAGUAUUUAUUCACUCAGAAGGAGUUGAACUCGAGGCAGCGUAGAUGGUUGGAGCUACUCAAGGAUUAUGAUCUGACGAUUCUCUACCACCCAGGCAAGGCUAACGUGGUGGCUGAUGCGCUAAGUAGGAAAUCAACGGAAAACUUAGCGAUGUUUGUGGUGAUUCAACCGCCGUUGAUCGAGCAGAUGAAGCGGUUGGAGUUGGAGGUGGUGGCUCCUGACACACCUUUGAGGCUGAUGACUUUGGUGGUGCAACCUACACUUAUGGAAAGGCUUAAAGAAAAGCAAGCUUCUGAUGUGGUGUUACAAAAGAUUCGAGCUAAGAUGAUUGAUGGUUGCGUCGGUGAUUUCACUUUGGACGGUGAUGGAUUGAUGUGAUUCCGCGGACGGUUGUGUGUACCGGCGGACUUGGGCAUUAAAGAGGAUAUUCUUCAAGAAGCACACCGAGCACUGUAUGCUAUACAUCCGGGAGGCACCAAGAUGUACAAGAACUUGAAGUUGCUUUAUUGGUGGCCCGGGAUGAAGAAGGAUGUUGGUGAGUUUGUCGCUAGAUGUUUAACUUGCCAACAGGUGAAAGCUGAGCACCGAGUUCCUGCGGGAAAGUUUCAGAGCCUACCGAUUUCAAUAUGGAAGUGGGAGAAGAUCACCAUGGAGUUCGUGAUGGGAUUGCCUCUCUCACAGGCCGGGCAUGACGCUAUUUGGGUGAUCGUGGAUAGGCUGACAAAAUCGGCCCAUUUCAUACCUAUCCACACUACUUGAACUGGUGAGAGACUCGCACAGGUUUAUUUGAAUGAGAUUGUGCGAUUGCACGGGGCACCUACUUUUAUAGUAUCAGAUCGAGAUCCCCGUUUUGUAUCCCACUUUUGGAGGAGCUUACAGGAUACUUUAGGUACGCGCUUGGAUUUCAGCACUGCUUUCCACCCCCAGAGUGACGGGCAGUCGGAGCGUACUAUACAGACUCUCGAGGAUAUACUUCAAGCUUGUGUGAUCGACUUCCAGGGAGGAUGGUCGUAGCAUCUACCUAUGGUAGAGUUUGCUUAUAACAAUAGUUAUCAAGCAAGCAUCAAGAUGGCACCUAUCGAGGCACUUUAUGGACGGAAAUAUAGAUCGCCACUUCAUUGGUGUGAAGUUGGCGAGAGAAUAGCUUUAGGCCCCGAUGUGCUCCAGAAAGCAGAGGACAAAGUUCGCAUUGCUAGGGAGCGACUAUUGACAGCCCAGAGUAGGCAAAAGAGUUAUGCUGAUAAGCGUCGACGAGACUUGGAGUUUCAGAUUGGAGAUCAUGUCUUCUUGAAAGUCUCGCCGACCAGAGGGAUUAGGAGAUUUGGAAUUCGGGGUAAGUUGAGCCCCCGAUACAUUGGACCGUAUGAGAUUCUGGAAAGUGUAGGCCCGGUAGCGUAUACACUUGCUCUACCGCCAAACCUAUUGGGUGUAUACAAUGUAUUCCAUGUAUCGGUCCUUCGGAAGUAUAUCCACGACCCGGCUCAUGUGUUGGAUGCUACACCAGUAGAGCUGAGGGACGAUCUGAGCUUUGAAGAACAACCCUUGAGGAUUUUGGCUCGCGAGGUAAAGAGGUUGCGGAACCGAGAGAUUCCCUACGUGAAGGUGCUUUGGAGCAAGCACGACGAGCGCGAGGCCACUUGGGAGUUGGGGAGCGCACUGCGGAAGCGCUAUCCCCAUCUUUUUUGGAUGGAGGCUUAAGGUACUUUGCCUUUUUCGAGUUUCGCGGACGAAACUCCUUUUUAGGAGGGGUGAAUGUAGCACACUAGACCUUUACAAAUUGGGAGGUUCGAGUGUUUGGACAGUGUCCUGAGCUUUUCUAGACUUUCUGGUGGGUCGUUGACAGUGUUCCGAUCUAUGGCCCAUGUCCCGAGAAUUGUGGUUUAAAGCUGUGUACCAAAACCCGAAAAAUCGGAAUCUUGGCCAGCUCUCGGGUUGCCUUCAGAGGGUCUUGUAACGGUACAAGGUUGGUGGUUGUACCGGUACAAGGUUGAUGGUUGUACCGGUACAGCCACCGGGCUUGUACCGGUACAGAGCCGCGGAACCCCCCAGACCAGAGCCUCGGGUUUGUGAUUUUCGAGGGGAUUGUACCGGUACAAGGGCCCGUGUACCGGUACAAGGGCCCGUGUACCGGUACAAGGUGGCAGAAUUUGAGCAGUUUGAACUGCAGGGGUAUUUUUGCGAUUGUGGGUCUCUUAUAACAGCACCCACGCCCCUAGGGCUGCUCUUUGAGCUUGCCACUACAGAAAGAAGGUAAGGGGAGCUCCUCCAUGCUUCUCUCUUGGAUUUGAUCUCUUUUUAGCUUCGGAUUUAAGUGUUGAUCCUUCUCUUUUCCCUUUUCUUUGCUUUUCCACCAUUGUGAAGCUUGGAGCUUGGUCUUGGUGGAUUGUUGAGGGAAGAUCUUGGGAUUUCAAGAGUUUAGAGCUUUGAUUGAAGCUUCUAAGAGGUAAUCCACUUAUUCUCUCCCUCUAGAUUGGAUUUUUAUUGAUGGUUUUGAGAUGAAACCGUAGAAUGAGGUUUUAGGGCUUAUUUUGGGCAUUUUGAAUCUAGAAUUUUUUGAGCUAAAUUAGUUGGAUUAGAAUCUUCCUUUGGGUUGGAUUGGGAGGAUUCUAGCUCUCUUUUGGAGCUUGAGGGAGAUUUUCUACACAUUAGGUAAGUUUUAGCCCUUUUGCCUUGUUGGUUAAUGUUUAAUUUUAUAGUUGAUCGUAAUGCCCGUGUAUCUCUUCGCUCAAUACUUUCAGGGUAUUUUGAGACUCGGGGACAACUUCGUUCGGCGAAACGAGGCACUACGCGACGGUUUGGUGGGUUUGACCUAGCCUAUAAUAUGAGAAAUUCUCAUAUAUGGCGAUAUAUGUUUCGUAAAUUGGAAAACUAUGCAUGUUCAUACUAAAUGUAUUUAUUAUGAUUUUUAGAAUGCUUAAAAUGCCUAUGUUACAUGUAAUGAAAUUUUGGAUCUCUAUGUAGUAGAGGAUAGCAUAUGAAGCUUAUGCGGAAUUUUUGGCAUUCUUAUGUUGGAUCAUGUUCCUUAGUAUAAAAAGAGCUUCGAUUCAUGCAUUUAAACCUAAGUUUAAUUGAGUCAUGAAAGAUAACUAAUAUGCCAUAAAGAGGCACCGAACCGGAAUGUUAUGUGAUUUAGAGAGCUAAUGCCAUCAAGCGACAUUGAGCUCGGGACAUAGGUGAACCUAGUGGAUAGGGCCAUUGAGGAAUGUGGAACAUGCUUAAGUAUUGAAUGUCUAAGUGUCAUAAAGGGGCACUAGACCUAGAGAACAUUGGAACUUUAUUUUGUGAUUUAGAACUAGAUCUUCGGGAUGCUAGUAACUAUACCAUGUUAGAGACAUGAUGAUUGGAUACGUGAGACGCUGACUAUGCUUGCUUGCCAUUUGUGCUCAUUCGCACAUGCUUGUGAGGGUCGCUCCCUACAAGCCGGCACUUCGGAGUUAGCCUACGCGACUUAUAUUCGCUCGUGCGGUAUUGAGAAACCUACGGGGUCGAGUGGGACAGACACAUUCCAAGAGUAGGAAUGUCGGGCUACCACAGGCACUUAGGUGGCACAAGCUGCACUACCUUGGGUAGGCCCUUAAUUGAAAAUAAAAAUCGACACAGUAUUGAGUGUGUUUUAAUCACUACUAGAUAGAGAUUAGUAGUUGGAUUACUUGGACUUGCUUCUAGCAUAGUUUUGGACACUUGAGUACACAUACUUAUAUGUAGUAUGCUAGGAGAUAUUGCUUAUUGCAUUCAUAUAUACAUUGUUGCCAUGAUAAAGCAUAAUCCUUAUAAAUUUAAAGUGAACUGUGACACUUACGUGUAGCUAUGCAGAGACAUAUUGGUUAUGAUAAAGUAAAGGUGCAUUAUUUUUAACACACAUGUUUAAUUGCAAUAUAGUUGCUUAGCAUUUUAAUUUUGCUCUCAUAAAUGCAGUUUAUUCUUUAUUAUUGCUCUUUUGACUCACCUUUUUCUUUUGGGGCCUAGUGGUGUAUUGAGCUGAGGUCAGUAAUUGCCCACUGAGAACUAUAAAUUAUAGUUCUCACGCCUCUGUUUUAUGUUUUCUUUCAGAGCCUUCCACGCCGGGGGAGGCCAGGGAUCGCGGAAAGGGUAUCGUCUCGGGCUAGUGUUCUUAGCCAAGGGAUCGUUCGAUAGGUGGCCCACCUCUCUUUGUUUCUUUUUGUGAGAGGUUGAGAGUUGUACCAGUGUACUAGAGACCACCCUUUUGUGUACCUUUUGGGACAGAUAUUGUAUUACCUUAUGGUUUACUUUUACUGUUUACUUGUAUCAUUUUACUUUUGCUAUAGAACGUAGAAUCAUACUGCUUUGAUAUCAUUAGUUUUUGCUCUUUCCUUUCGGCUAUGUUUCUUGCUUUAUUUUCGCUGUUGAUGUAGACGCCUUAUAUGUGUUGACAUAUGGCGGGUCUGGGCACGCUACCGGGAGGGCCUCUGCCGGUCCCGCGGCGUGACAUUAACGGGGGGAGUCUGUGACACCCCAAUAAUCCCACAUCGGAUGGGAAUGGGGUUGUCAUUGGGUUUAUAAGAGACUUAGACACUUGUAAUAAUAACUGGGCUUAAGCAUUUUGGGCAGGUGGUUUGGGCCCAACGAGUUAUUAUUGCUAGUGGAUCGGGUCGUUGCAAUUGGUAUCAGAGCCAAAUACCAGCCGGCAGUGUGAGAACUAAGUGCUAUGCGGGACAAAGUGCUACACCAAUGGGUUUGGUGGGAGCGACCACUUGAACCCGUAGGAGCCACCUCUAGAAUCUCACAUCGCCUGGUAAUGGUCCUGGUCUGUCUGUCUGUGAUCUGGUUUGGACCCGACGAGGACGUCAGGGUCUAAACAGGGGGACUUUGUAACACCCCCAAUAGUCCCACAUCGGAUGGGAUACUUAUUCCGAUCAGUUUAUAUGAGAC